UACGAAGGGGGCUAGCGUUGCUCGGAAUCACUGGGCGUAAAGCGCGCGCAGGCGGCUAUCCAAGUCAGUGGUGAAAGCCCGGAGCUCAACUCCGGAACUGCCAUUGAAACUGUUUAGCUUGAGGACGAGAGAGGUGAGUGGAAUUCCCAGUGUAGAGGUGAAAUUCGUAGAUAUUGGGAAGAACACCGGUGGCGAAGGCGGCUCACUGGCUCGUUUCUGACGCUCAGGCGCGAUAGCGUGGGGAUCAAACAGG
rnacentral:rRNA from 1 species